rnacentral:tRNA from 1 species
UAGUGGGAUGUGAUUACACACCUGGUUUCGGCCCAGCUUUUGGCUUAUAUGUGGCCCCCACUAU